ACAUUCUCGAUGCUGAUGUAUGAUGUUAUAUAGGUGUGGCGAUAGAUAUGUGUUAUCUGCAACCCUAAUCUAAGGCUCACACAAGCAAUACAUACUUUUUAGGACUCCUCACCUCUGAGGAGUGUGAUUUUUGAUGCGUCUCAACGCCAGCAGCUUAUUUUACUUAAAAAUCCUCUCUAAUGUAGACUUUCUGGUACAAGUGACUUUUAGCCCCGGCAGCUGCUCCCCUCUGUUAAUCAUGGGUUGGUUCAUUUUUUUUCAUUAUGUUCAUGCAACAUAUACUAUAUCUUUUUCCUAAAUAUUUAAGCAUACGUAACCAUAUGAACUGCUAUCAAGAGUCUAUGUAAAGGAACGUGAGAUGAAUCUAAUCGGGUGGCAUUAUUUUCAUCUGCUUUUCAUCGUUGAAGUUCUACAUAAUAGGAUUUAAAUAGCAUGUAAGACUAUCAAGUUAUUGUCCGAGACUGGUUGAGCUUGUGGCAGAUUAGUGUCGGACAGUUUCAGGGAAACUAUAGAUAUUUAUCCUUCAGGAAGGAUGAGAGGACAAAAUAAACAGGUAAAAGUAGUGAGGUUUAGGAAUUAAGCUUCUUAGGCUGCCUUCACACUGCAAGCCCACGUCUUAAUUUGGAUUUAUUCCUCAGAUCGUAAUUUUUUCAUGCGGUAAAAUCAUAUUCCAUUGAGAAGUGACCCCCAUUUGCUGAAGAACAAUAACGACGACAUCCCACGCAGCGCGCCGUUGUACGGAAGUAAACAUGGAGGCCACCGAGCAUUUAUGGUCUCAUUUGUGAGCUGAUGCGAAGCUGUCAGAGAGAGCAAGGGCGAGGAUAAACAGUGUGCGGAGCCCGGCACAUUUCCUGUCCGGCUGUGUGAUUUAAGGAUUUAUUUCUGACAAGCAGAGUUAAUGAUUUCUGGAGCAGUGGAGAGAGACUGAUCAAGACGGUUGUUUUUAUUUUUCUAUCCGUCCAGUGUGUUUUAUCAUUAUCUACAUCUCCCAGGCCCGAAUCCUGAUCUGACCUCUUUUAUUUGUAAUGAAACUGAAGUCUGAACACACUCUUUGUGCCCCACGCAGUACAAAGAAUUACAGGGUCGUGGCGACACACAAUGGAAACCUUCAGUAAGGCUUUCUCAACGUUGCCGUUUCCCCAGUGACACUUCACACCACGGCAACGUAGUUCAUACAGGCAGCAUUCGUAUUUCCAGCGUCCAGCAGCACAUCUGGAAUGCAGUCAGUGAGCCCCUUUCUGCCUGCUGGGGACAAUAUGCUGGACGGCAUUAUCCCCGAAGAUCCCGCACAGAGCGCCGUGUGCUUGUCCAUUAAAACCGUAAGAAUCUUGACAAAACGACAAAGCAUUCCAUGUGGCAAUAUAUCGCUAAACUAAGUAGAUUGUUCAGCUGCUACGAUGCUCUACCGUGCACUUAUUUCAGUUAUAACAUGCAUCUAUUGUCCAUGGCAGUACAAUGACACCACUGUGUAAAAAAAACACAGAAUGAAAACUGAUAAAAAAGAAAACUAGAUAUAUCCAUUGCUGUCCAAUAUUUGAAAUCCUAGAAUGUUUUGAGUGGGCAUGUGGUUCCCAGACUGGAGGAAACCAAAUGAUCAAUAGGUAGUAUAUUUAUUUGAGGCUAGGGAAAAUGUAAGAUUGAAGUAAAGUUUUACUUGGGAAAUGAGAUUGCUUGACCCUCGGAGGCCAUGCGGUGCAACACCAGUUUGUCGACAACAUACACUCCCGAGACUUUUUCUCUCUUCUGUCCCCUCAUGCUGUUGUGUGCUCACCUUUGUUGAAGAAGAACAGUCGAGAAUGAAUAACAAAAUCGGAGAUUACAGAAGGCGCGGUGCACUCUGUUCACCCGCUAUGCCUUCCUACCUGCAGCACUUUAUGAG
ensembl:lncRNA